AUUGAACGCUGGCGGCAGGCCUAACACAUGCAAGUCGAACGGUAACAGGAAGCAGCUUGCUGCUUUGCUGACGAGUGGCGGACGGGUGAGUAAUGUCUGGGAAACUGCCCGAUGGAGGGGGAUAACUACUGGAAACGGUAGCUAAUACCGCAUAACGUCGCAAGACCAAAGUGGGGGACUUUAGGGCCUCUUGCCUUCGGAUGUGCCCAGAUGGGAUUAGCUAGUAGGUGGGGUAACGGCUCACCUAGGCGACGAUCCCUAGCUGGUCUGAGAGGAUGACCAGCCACACUGGAACUGAGACACGGUCCAGACUCCUACGGGAGGCAGCAGUGGGGAAUAUUGCACAAUGGGCGCAAGCCUGAUGCAGCCAUGCCGCGUGUAUGAAGAAGGCCUUCGGGUUGUAAAGUACUUUCAGCGGGGAAGAAGGGAGUAAAGUUAAUACCUUUGCUCAUUGACGUUACCCGCAGAAGAAGCACCGGCUAACUCCGUG
rnacentral:rRNA from 1 species